CCCUCCCCAGCACGUGAUCACUGGUCCCCAACAGAACAACCGCUGCCGCAUCCAUGAGCCGUUUUGCACACCCUGGUCAGAAUGAAACAUUCCUUGGGAACUCGGGCCGUGAGAAGCAUCCUUCCUGAUCACCUGACUGUAGAAACAUCCUUAUCGCACCCUCCCGGGCAAAGGCCCAACAGCCUGACUGCAGGAACAUCCUUGCCAUAUCCUGCCGGGCAGCAAGCUCUACCGCCCACACCCCUCCUUCCCAGUCCCAUGAUCACCCCAGCCUGUGAGAGGCAGUUGGUGCUGGCAGUAAGCUGGUUUCCUCCUCUGCAGGGUUUUGCUAGUAAUAAAGGUGUUGCUGUUGAAGCCGUCAACUGUCUUUCUGUGUCUUUCUUUAACCCUUGCCUUGCCUUCAAAAUCU
rnacentral:lncRNA from 1 species